rnacentral:rRNA from 1 species
GAGCGGAUGACGGGAGCUUGCUCCUUGAUUCAGCGGCGGACGGGUGAGUAAUGCCUAGGAAUCUGCCUGGUAGUGGGGGACAACGUUUCGAAAGGAACGCUAAUACCGCAUACGUCCUACGGGAGAAAGCAGGGGACCUUCGGGCCUUGCGCUAUCAGAUGAGCCUAGGUCGGAUUAGCUAGUUGGUGGGGUAAUGGCUCACCAAGGCGACGAUCCGUAACUGGUCUGAGAGGAUGAUCAGUCACACUGGAACUGAGACACGGUCCAGACUCCUACGGGAGGCAGCAGUGGGGAAUAUUGGACAAUGGGCGAAAGCCUGAUCCAGUCAUGCCGCGUGUGUGAAGAAGGUCUUCGGAUUGUAAAGCACUUUAAGUUGGGAGGAAGGGCAGUAAGCUAAUACCUUGCUGUUUUGACGUUACCGACAGAAUAAGCACCGGCUAACUCUGUG